UACGUAGGUGGCAAGCGUUGUCCGGAUUUACUGGGCGUAAAGAGGGCGCAGGCGGUCGUUCAAGUCGCGUGUGAAAGCCCCCGGCUCAACUGGGGAGGGUCACGCGAUACUGAUCGACUCGAAGGCAGGAGAGGGUAGUGGAAUUCCCGGUGUAGUGGUGAAAUGCGUAGAUAUCGGGAGGAACACCAGUGGCGAAGGCGACUACCUGGCCUGUUCUUGACGCUGAGGCGCGAAAGCUAGGGGAGCAAACGGG
rnacentral:rRNA from 1 species